UGGUUUGUUACCGGUGGUUGGCUCUUUUCAACAACUUCCACCUGACAUACCUAUUCAUUCGACCGGAAAGGCUUCCACUGCCUGAACAAAAUGUGGGUUUCUUGUGUUGCCUACCUAACAUAUGGCAUUGAUCUGGCUUAUAAGAAUUCUUUUCAUCUUUUGUCAUGUUUUUGAUAUUUGAUGAACCAAAAACCUGCCUCUUUGAACCACAUCACUAAUGAUUGUGUUGAUAUAGUGGUGCAUCGAGCCUUGCUUGGUCUCUUUGAUGUAGUACUUGAUUUGGGCAUGGGUCUCACAGGAUCCUACUCAUAAUGUCCCUGUUUAGUAAAUAUGCUCCUUGAAAUGACUGCUUGACAUGCAUUGGCUCGUACCAGCAUGUUUGGUUUUGUCUAAAGAGGAAAGUUACCUGGU
rnacentral:misc_RNA from 1 species